GUUGUGCAAUUUGGGGAGAAAGUCUAUUUGUUCCAUCAGAAAUUGCAAAAAACUAGCUUGCAAUUCAGUUAGGUUAAAAGGGUGAAAAGCUUAUUUGUUGUUAUAGAUAUUCUAGGAACUAUGGUUGAAUGACUGAUAAUUGAGUGUUUUUUCCUAUAUGUGUAACCUUGCUAAAGGGAGCCUGUCAAAACUUAAACCUGAAAGGGGGUUUUGAUCUAAAAAAAAAGUCCCUAGUGGCAAUAAAAAGCCAGGAUGCUUUGCAGUUGUUGCAUAUAUGAAAUGUUCCUUUAUUUCAAGCUCCAAGAGAGUGCUGGCCCUAUAUAGGCUCAUUUAUGUAUGCAAGUGCAGUUGUAAUUUGAGCUUUUCUCUGCAGUGGGAAUGCCCCUAAAACCUCUAUCAUUAAAGGAACAAAAUGCCCUCCUCACACUUGUGUAUAGUUGCACAUCGGUGAUGCUCAGUCAUUCAUGUCUUUUAUUUAAGUUGAAACCCUAUGUACUCUGUAGCAUACAAUAGUUUAAAAGACUAUGGCUGUAUGUUGGUGGUGCUCUAUCCAGAAACCUUGCUGCUUGACUUGGUUCCCUUAUUUCAUAUAGUGAAGAAGUAGGAUGGCACACACUGUUGCAAUUGUGC